rnacentral:rRNA from 1 species
CUGGCUCAGAGCGAACGCUGGCGGCAUGCUUAACACAUGCAAGUCGCACGGACCUUUCGGGGUGAGUGGCGGACGGGUGAGUAACGCGUAGGGAUUUAUCCAUAGGUGGGGGAUAACACUGGGAAACUGGUGCUAAUACCGCAUGACACCUGAGGGUCAAAGGCGCGAGUCGCCUAUGGAGGAGCCUGCGUUCGAUUAGCUAGUUGGUUAGGUAAAGGCUGACCAAGGCGAUGAUCGAUAGCUGUCCUGAGAGGA